rnacentral:rRNA from 1 species
GAAAGCUAGUUGUAUUAUUAGUUAAUGCAAGAUCGACUACGUCGACUAAAGUUCUAGGUAGAAUAAUGAUGAUGACAAUUUUUUACCUAUAUGUCUUGACCAAGUCUCGUGCCAGCAGUCGCGGUAAUACGUGGAAGACUAGUGUUAUUCAUCUUUAUUAGGUUUAAAGGGUACCUAGACGGUAUUUCUAGCCCAAAAUAGGGUACGGAUUUACUAGAGUUUUAUGUGAGGAGGGGAGUACUCGUGGAGUAGAGAUGAAAUUUUGUUAUACUAUGAGGUAACUGGUGGCGGCGAAAGCAACCUUCUAUGUAUAAACUGACGUUGAGGGACGAAGGCUUGGGUAGCAAAUAGGAUUAGAUACCCUAGUAGUCCAAGCAGACAAUUCUGAAUGCCAUAGAUUAGAUUAUUUUUGGUCUAUAAAUGAAAGUGUAAGCAUUCCACCUUAGGAGUAAUGUGGCAACACAGGAACUGAAAUCAUUAGACCGUUUCUGAAACCAGUAGUGAAGUAUGUUAUUUAAAUUGAUGGUCCACAAAAAACCUUACCACAACUUGAAUAUUUUUUAAUUAAUACAAGCGUUGCACGGCUGUCUUCAGUUAAUGUCGUGAGAUUUUGGUUAACUCCAUUAAUUAACGUAAACCCUUAC